CACUAUAUCAACUCUGCCGGCUUUCGGGCCGGCUAUGGCGAUAAACGAGCGGUGUAAUAAACCUAUUGGACCCGGGGGCGGUACCCGGCGCCUCCACCAAAAACCGGCGGGGUUGAAGGCCGGCUUUUGAUGGGGGCGAAACAGGAUCGACAAGGGUGUAAAGAUCGUCUUUUUGCUCGGCAUUGUACCGCCGUUAUCGGGCUAAAAUUGUAGUUGCAAACGACAACUAUGCGGAAGCUCGUCUCGCUGCUUAAUCGCGGUGUGACACUUCAAUCAAAGCCCUAGUGGUUCGCACCUCUAGGCGG
rnacentral:tmRNA from 4 species